UCGAGAAUUUUUCUCAAUGGGGGAAACCCUGAAGGAGCGACGCCGCGUGGAGGAUGAAGGUCUUCGGAUUGUAAACUCCUGUCAUUUGGGAACAAUUGUCACGCGUUAACUGCGCGGGACUUGAUAGUACCAGAAGAGGAAGAGACGGCUAACUCUGUGCCAGCAGCCGCGGUAAUACAGAGGUCUCAAGCGUUGUUCGGAUUCAUUGGGCGUAAAGGGUGCGUAGGCGGCGGGGUAAGUCGGAUGUGAAAUCCCGGGGCUCAACCCCGGAACUGCAUUCGAUACUGCCCUGCUCGAGUGCUGGAGAGGAGACUGGAAUUUACGGUGUAGCAGUGAAAUGCGUAGAUAUCGUAAGGAAGACCAGUGGCGAAGGCGAGUCUCUGGACAGUUACUGACGCUGAGGCACGAAGGCCAGGGGAGCAAACGGGAUUAGAUACCCGGGUAGUCC
rnacentral:rRNA from 1 species